UCGGGAAUUUUGGGCAAUGGGCGAAAGCCUGACCCAGCAACGCCGCGUGAAGGAUGAAGUAUUUCGGUAUGUAAACUUCGAAAGAAUAGGAAGAAUAAAUGACGGUACUAUUUAUAAGGUCCGGCUAACUACGUGCCAGCAGCCGCGGUAAUACGUAGGGACCAAGCGUUGUUCGGAUUUACUGGGCGUAAAGGGCGCGUAGGCGGCAAUUCAAGUCAUCUGUGAAAUCUCCGGGCUUAACUCGGAACGGUCAGAUGAUACUGCUUUGCUAGAGUGCAGAAGGGGCAAUCGGAAUUCUUGGUGUAGCGGUGAAAUGCGUAGAUAUCAAGAGGAACACCUGAGGUGAAGACGGGUUGCUGGGCUGACACUGACGCUGAGGCGCGAAAGCCAGGGGAGCAAACGGGGAUUAGAUACCCGUGUAGUCCCUGAGCGGGC
rnacentral:rRNA from 1 species